rnacentral:rRNA from 1 species
UACGUAGGGUGCGAGCGUUGUCCGGAAUUAUUGGGCGUAAAGAGCUUGUAGGUGGUUUGUCGCGUCUGCUGUGAAAAUCCGAGGCUCAACCUCGGACUUGCAGUGGGUACGGGGCAGACUAGAGUGUGGUAGGGGAGACUGGAAAUUCCUGGUGGUAGCGGUGGAAUGCGCAGAUAUCAGGAGGAACACCGAUGGCGAAAGGCAGGGUC